rnacentral:rRNA from 1 species
CAGUCGGCUGUGGGUUGUUACCUCAUGCAAUGCAGGUCGGGCGCGCCCGCGCGGCGCGCGUCACGCAUCAGACCUCUAAUCGGAAAAGACUACCCGCUGAGUU